UGGGGAAUUUUGCACAAUGGGCGAAACCCUGAUGCAGCGACGCCGCGUGAGUUAGAAGGCCUUCGGGUUGUAAAAAUCUUUUCUAUGGGAAGAAAAUGACAGUACCAUAGGAAUAAGGACCGGCUAAUUACGUACCAGCAGCCGCGGUAAUACGUAAGGUCCGAGCGUUGUCCGGAAUCAUUGGGCGUAAAGGGUACGUAGGCGGGUAAGCAAGUUAGAAGUGAAAUCCUAUAGCUCAACUAUAGUAAGCUUUUAAAACUGCUCAUCUUGAGGUAUGGAAGGGAAAGUGGAAUUCCUAGUGUAGCGGUGAAAUGCGCAGAUAUUAGGGGGAAUACCGGUGGCGAAGGCGACUUUCUGGCCAUAACCUGACGCUGAGGUACGAAAGCGUGGGUAGCAAACAGG
rnacentral:rRNA from 1 species